UAGAGUUUGAUCCUGGCUCAGGAUGAACGCUAGCGGCAGGCCUAAUACAUGCAAGUCGAACGGUAAGUUUUGUAGCAAUACGAAACCAAGAGUGACGUACGGGUGCGUAACACGUAUGCAACCUACCCAUAACAGGAGGAUAGCUCCCCGAAAGGGGAAUUAACCCUUCAUAGUAUAGUUGAAUGGCAUCAUUUGACUAUUAAAACUCCGGUGGUUAUGGAUGGGCAUGCGUCUGAUUAGUUAGUUGGCGGUGUAAUGGACCACCAAGACGAUGAUCAGUAGGGGAACUGAGAGGUUGAUCCCCCACACUGGCACUGAGAUACGGGCCAGACUCCUACGGGAGGCAGCAGUAGGGAAUAUUGGUCAAUGGAUGCAAGUCUGAACCAGCCAUGCCGCGUGCAGGAAGAAGGCCCUAUGGGUUGUAAACUGC
rnacentral:rRNA from 1 species